GAUGAACGCUGGCGGCGUGCCUAAUACAUGCAAGUCGAGCGAACAGACGAGGAGCUUGCUCCUCUGACGUUAGCGGCGGACGGGUGAGUAACACGUGGAUAACCUACCUAUAAGACUGGGAUAACUUCGGGAAACCGGAGCUAAUACCGGAUAAUAUAUUGAACCGCAUGGUUCAGUAGUGAAAGACGGUUUUGCUGUCACUUAUAGAUGGAUCCGCGCCGCAUUAGCUAGUUGGUAAGGUAACGGCUUACCAAGGCAACGAUGCGUAGCCGACCUGAGAGGGUGAUCGGCCACACUGGAACUGAGACACGGUCCAGACUCCUACGGGAGGCAGCAGUAGGGAAUCUUCCGCAAUGGGCAAAAGCUUGACGGAGCAACGCCGCGUGAGUGAUGAAGGUCUUCGGAUCGUAAAACUCUGUUAUUAGGGAAGAACAAAUGUGUAAGUAACUAUGCACGUCUUGACGGUACCUAAUCAGAAAGCCACGGCUAACUACGUG
rnacentral:rRNA from 1 species